rnacentral:rRNA from 1 species
UACCAGACUCCUACGGGAGGCAGCAGUGGGGGAUAUUGCACAAUGGGGGGAACCCUGAUGCAGCGACGCCGCGUGAGGGAAGACGGUUUUCGGAUUGUAAACCUCUGUCUUUAGGGACGAAACAAAUGACGGUACCUAAAGAGGAAGCCACGGCUAACUACGUGCCAGCAGCCGCGGUAAUACGUAGGUGGCAAGCGUUGUCCGGAAUUACUGGGUGUAAAGGGAGCGUAGGCGGGCGAGAAAGUUGAAUGUUAAAUCUACCGGCUUAACUGGUAGCUGCGUUCAAAACUUCUUGUCUUGAGUGAAGUAGAGGCAGGCGGAAUUCCUAGUGUAGCGGUGAAAUGCGUAGAUAUUAGGAGGAACACCAGUGGCGAAGGCGGCCUGCUGGGCUUUAACUGACGCUGAGGCUCGAAAGCGUGGGGAGCAAACAGGAUUAGAUACCCUCGUACC